rnacentral:lncRNA from 1 species
AAUAUCAUAGCAUAUCUUUAUCCAACUUCUUAUCAUAUCUUAUCUAUAUCUUAUCAUGUUUACCAAAUGGACCAUUAGAGAGAGAGUAAAUAAUAAUGCCGCCUUCACUUUUGGUAUAUGAAGGUCAUGAAGUUCUUUCCUUCUCUUCCAUACAUCUCAUAAAUCCUUCGAAGUUCCAAAAACAUUCAUCAAAAUCUAAGAUUCGGAGUUGGUUUUUAAAAAAUUUAGAUUCUAAAAUAUGAACACUAGAUAUAAGUCAUGAAACCCUUCUUCUUCCCUCUUCACUUAUGCAUUUUUCUUUGGAGUCGAAAAUCCUCACAUUCAAAAUAAUUUGCAUUUCCUCAUUUAUCAUCAAAUCUUGGUCAAAUCAUUAUGCAUUCAAGUAUUUAACAUCGAGUUAGUACAUAUUUGCUUAAAUAUUUUAUUUUUAUUUGUUGGUAUUAUUCUGGAUAUAGAUUUUAAGCAUUGCUUGAUGCAUGCAUUUGUCUCUUUGUAUGUGUGAGGAUUUGUAUAUGUGUUGAUUUUUUAUUUAUGUUUUUCAUUAUUUUUAAUAAAGGGUGGAAAUACUGUGUUGAGAGAUAACCUUGAUGGGGAACAUAUACAUUGAUGUUUCCUCUACUAGGCAGAAGCGUCAACGUAUGAUUUGAAUGGACAAUGUUAAAUCAUAUGAGCUAGAUGCUACUUAGUAUAGCCGUAUUACUAGGUGGGAAAUAUCGGGCUAAGAA